rnacentral:rRNA from 1 species
GAUGAACGCUGGCGGCGUGCCUAAUACAUGCAAGUCGAGCGAACGGACGAGAAGCUUGCUUCUCUGAUGUUAGCGGCGGACGGGUGAGUAACACGUGGAUAACCUACCUAUCAGACUGGGAUAACUUCGGGAAACCGUAGCUAAUACCGGAUAAUAUUUUGAACCGCAUGGUUCAAAAGUGAAAGACGGUCUUGCUGUCACUUAUAGAUGGAUCCGCGCUGCAUUAGCUAGUUGGUAAGGUAACGGCUUACCAAGGCAACGAUGCAUAGCCGACCUGAGAGGGUGAACGGCCACCCUGGAACUGAGACACGGCCCAGACUCCUACGGGAGGCAGCAGUAGGGAAUCUUCCGCAAUGGGCGAAAGCCUGACGGAGCAACGCCGCGGGAGUGAUGAAGGUCUUCGGAUCGUAAAACUCUGUUAUUAGGGAAGAACAUAUGUGUAAGUAACUGUGCACAUCUUGACGGUACCUAAUCAGAAAGCCACGGCUAACUACGUG